rnacentral:rRNA from 1 species
UGAGGAAUAUUGGGCAAUGCCCGCAAGGGUGACCCAGCAACGCCGCGUGGAGGAUGAAUGUCGUAAGAUUGUAAACUCCUGUUAGAGGGGAAGAAUAGUACCGGUUGGACCGGUAUAUGACUGUACCCUCAGAGAAAGCCCCGGCUAACUACGUGCCAGCAGCCGCGGUAAUACGUAGGGGUCAAGCGUUGUCCGGAUUUACUGGGUGUAAAGGGCGCGCAGGCGGGAUAAAAAGUCAGUGGUGAAAUCCUACAGCUUAACUGUAGAACGGCCUUUGAUACUUUUAUUCUUGAGUUCGGGAGAGAGAGACGGAAUUCCAGGUGUAGUGGUGAAAUACGUAGAUAUCUGGAAGAACACCUGUUGCGAAGGCGGUCUCUUGGUCCGACACUGACGCUGAGGCGCGAAAGCGUGGGGAGCAAACA